UCUAAUUUAGCAAAAUAUAAUGUAUCAAUUUUAGAAAUUGAAGAUGAUGAUUCAAUUAGAA
rnacentral:tRNA from 1 species